UACGAGGGGGGCGAGCGUUGUUCGGAAUUAUUGGGCGUAAAGGGUGCGUAGGCGGCCUGACAAGUCUGAUGUGAAAUCCCUGGGCUCAACCCAGGGCCUGCAUCGGAAACUGUCGGGCUUGAGUAUGGGAGAGGUGAGUGGAAUUUCCAGUGUAGCGGUGAAAUGCGUAGAUAUCGGAAGGAACACCUGUGGCGAAAGCGGCUCACUGGACCAUUACUGACGCUGAGGCACGAAAGCUAGGGGAGCAAACAGG
rnacentral:rRNA from 1 species